rnacentral:rRNA from 1 species
CACGUAGGGUGCGAGCGUUGUCCGGAAUUAUUGGGCGUAAAGAGCUCGUAGCGGUCUGUCACGUCGGCUGUGAAACCGAGGCUCAACCUCGGGCCUGCAGUCGAUACGGGCAAACUAGAGUACUGCAGGGGAGACUGGAAUUCCUGGGUGAUAGUCGGGUGAAAUGCGCAGAUAUCAGGAGGAACACCGGUGGCGAAGGCGGGUCUCUGGGCGAGUAACUGACGCUGGAGGAGCGAAAUGCGUGGGAGCGAACAGG